rnacentral:rRNA from 1 species
UACGGAGGGUGCAAACGUUGCUCGGAAUUAUUGGGCGUAAAGCGCACGUAGGCGGACCAUCAAGUCGGAUGUGAAAUCCCUCGGCUUAACCGAGGACGUGCAUUCGAAACUGAUGGCCUUGAGUACGAAAGAGGGUCGCGGAAUUCCCGGUGUAGAGGUGAAAUUCGUAGAUAUCGGGAGGAACACCAGUGGCGAAGGCGGCGACCUGGGUCGAUACUGACGCUGAGGUGCGAAAGCGUGGGGAGCAAACAGG